rnacentral:lncRNA from 1 species
GCUCGGCCGAAGAAGCGAGACGAUUCGGUUCAGUCAGCAUGCUGUAAUAGCUAAUCAUGAUGGCCGACCGAGUCUCAUGAUAUGAGUCGCCAACAUGCGCAAGAGUCUGCUGCUGGGCUGCCAGGUGACUGGGAGCUUUUACAGCCAUGUGUGCCGAAGCAGGGCGAGACCAGAAGAACAUGACCUUCAGCGUGGACACGGCCAGCGAGAGCCCCUUCCUCAUCCUCCCGCUCACCUUCGACCACAUCAUCGACGAGCAGAGCCCGCUGCGCGGAUGGGCCGACAACGAACAAUCCUUUCAUGCAUGUGCUGUAUGCAUGCUCCCGUGAUUCAUCACAGCAGUUUCUGCUUUAGUCACGACAGACAUGAAUUAAUUGGCUCAGAAAAGUGAAAGUCAAAGCAUUUAUUUUAAAAAGCAUAUUUUGAUAAAAGCGGCUGAAUUACUGGAAUAAUCCACUGGAUAUACAGAGAUGCUUCAUUUUCCACAUUAAUAAACAGAUAAAGAUAUUGAUGGUUAAUCUGAUGCUGAUAAAUGACUGUUAUAAUGCGUUUUAUUUGCACAGCAUGCAUUGUCUUUUAUUACUGGAGUGUUAGUUGUAACACUGUAGAAACAAUUUUCACUCAGAAAUUGCUACAUUUCACGAAUAAUUACAAAGAAAUGGCAAGUAACACAUUGAAUUAAAUGUCAACUUUUUAAGUAAAAAUCCCA